CUAGACCCUCAUAUUCCAAGAUCGCUGCUAAGAAAAUGGAUGGCCACUUGGUACAUCUAGAAAGGUGAAGGACCAUUGGAGAUAUACCACAUGAGGCUAUAACUCUGUGAACUUUGAAAAUAUGGAAGAGCCACCCCGUAGCUCCUUGUAAUUUGCCUGGACUUAUGGUUUUACUGGUUUGGGGAACUCCUAGUGUGGAAAUUUCUUCAAUGGAAGCAGAUUCACAACUGGUGUAAGAAUUAUGGUUAAUCACAAAUUAGGGUUGAAGCUAAGACAGGAAUCUGGGAAAGUAGGCCAGUCUUUAGCCAAUGGUUCUUUGAGAGUUACUAGAUCUAACCAGUAAAAUCUUAUUUUUCAAGAAGUGAAUGGUCAAGCAGGUGGGGAAGUACGUUAGUCCAUUCAUUCCAAAAAUGGAUUAGUUACUAACUGGUUAAUAAUCAGAAGAGGCAACAUGGAAAUUUACAGUCAUUUGUCAAGCAUUUACUAUGUGUAAGCUCUGGGGAUACAAAGACAAAAGUGAAGGGCUUAUAUUCUAAUGGAGAGACAAUAAAUAUAUAUAGAUAUAGAUAUAUAUAAUUAUAUUUAUAACAUACAACAUUAAUAUAAGGUAGUGAUGGGAGAAAAGAAAGGAAGACACUGGCAGUUAGGAAGAAUGAUUAGGAAGGGUUUCAUGUAGAAGGCAGAAUUUGAGUUGAAAUUUGUAGGAAGCAUCAUCCAGGAGGAAGGGAGGAGAUAGUUUAUUCCAAGCAAAGGGGACAGCCAGUACAAAGGAAAUUAAAUAGGAGAUGGAAUAUCCUGCAUGCAGAGUAGCAAGUUGGCCAGUAUGAUUAUCUCUUGAUAUACAAGGAAGAGAAUAACUGGUAAAGACACUGGGGUAGGUGGAAAAGAGCUUUAAGUGCCAAACAGACAAAUUUACAUUUGAUUUUAGAGAUAAUUAGCAGUCACUGGAGUUGGUUGAGCAGUGAGAUUAAAUGAUCAGACCUGCACUUUAUGAAAAUUUCUUUGGCAGUGAUUUGAAGACCCUAAACUAGGGUGGUGACUAUGGCAGCAGAGAAUAGGCAAUGGUGUAGCCAGGAGAUAUCACAGAAGUAGAAAUUACAAGUUCACCUUUAAAAAAUGAAAAACAAACAAACAAAAAUUUUUUUUAAAAAUCCAGUACUUUCUGUCUUGGAAUCACUAUUAAGUAUUUGUUCCAAGGCAGAAGAGCAAUAAAGGUUAGGUAAUUGGGGUUAAGUGAUUUGCCUGGACAAGUGUCUAAGGUCAGAUUUGAACCUAGGACCUGGCUCUCAAUCCACUGAGCCACCUAGUUGCCCCAAAACAUGUUUUUUAAAUGUUCUGUUACAAAUUGUCUCCUUCCUUCUAGCCCAUCCCCCACCCAUUGAGAAGGCAAGCAAUGUGAUAUCAAUUAUAUAUGUGGAAUUAUGCAAAAUGUAUUAACAUAUUAGUCAUGUUGCCAAAAAAAUCAAUAAAAAUAAAGUGAA